AUGUCUUGUUCGGCCUACGGUUGUACCAAAAGACAUUGCAAGGGAUCGGACGUUAAUUUCUUCCGGUUUCCUUUUGGCGAUAAUGUGAGGCUGAACCAGUGGCUGCUGAAUGUGAGAAGAAGGAACUGGAGCCCAUCUAAAAGUUCACGCCUGUGCAGUACGCACUUCAAGGAGGAUCAGUUCUUCAUAGACAAUGAGGGCAAGAGGAGGCUGAAGGAGACUGCUGUGCCUACCAUUUUCGUCUUUCAAAACCAUUGGUUGAUCGAGGAUGUAACAAACACGAUCACACAGACCAGCCUGCUGAGUUUAAAAACCAACAUCGGUGGCGAACCUUAUCACAACGUUGUCAAUUCGGAGCAAGCACCUAUCGAGGAGGACGACGACACCGCCAACUACGGCGUGGACGGUGUCCUUGACGACGUCCUCGACGACGACGACAUCGUCAGGGUGAUCGUCGGCGGCGAGGUCGACGAGGUCAUUUCCGACGACGAUACCGAGGGCUCGACGAGCGUAACGCCACAAUCCGCUUUGCAUGAUCACAGCUACCGGAGUCUGAAACAGGAGCAGAUCUACGUGGACACCGACCACAACUACAUUGUUUCGGGUUCUCCCAGGACACUGAAACGUAAAGUGGACGCAGUACAAGAUCAGCUCAUCCUGGCUCACAAAAAGCUCAAGCUAAAGUGUCAGGAGACGAGGCGAAUGAAGUCCAGACUCUCGUCCAUGAAGAAUCUGACCAAGGAUCUAAAGAAGAAGUUGAAUGCGGUUGAAAAAGCGCUUGCAGCAGUUCACAAGUAA
ensembl:lncRNA